GACGAACGCUGGCGGCGUGCCUAAUACAUGCAAGUAGAACGCUGAAGGAGGAGCUUGCUCUUCUGGAUGAGUUGCGAACGGGUGAGUAACGCGUAGGUAACCUGCCUGGUAGCGGGGGAUAACUAUUGGAAACGAUAGCUAAUACCGCAUAAGAGUAGAUGUUGCAUGACAUUUGCUUAAAAGGCGCAAUUGCAUCACUACCAGAUGGACCUGCGUUGUAUUAGCUAGUUGGUGGGGUAACGGCUCACCAAGGCAACGAUACAUAGCCGACCUGAGAGGGUGAUCGGCCACACUGGGACUGAGACACGGCCCAGACUCCUACGGGAGGCAGCAGUAGGGAAUCUUCGGCAAUGGACGGAAGUCUGACCGAGCAACGCCGCGUGAGUGAAGAAGGUUUUCGGAUCGUAAAGCUCUGUUGUAAGAGAAGAACGAGUGUGAGAGUGGAAAGUUCACACUGUGACGGUAUCUUACCAGAAAGGGACGGCUAACUACGUGCCAGCAGCCGCGGUAAUACGUAGGUCCCGAGCGUUGUCCGGAUUUAUUGGGCGUAAAGCGAGCGCAGGCGGUUAGAUAAGUCUGAAGUUAAAGGCUGUGGCUUAACCAUAGUACGCUUUGGAAACUGUUUAACUUGAGUGCAAGAGGGGAGAGUGGAAUUCCAUGUGUAGCGGUGAAAUGCGUAGAUAUAUGGAGGAACACCGGUGGCGAAAGCGGCUCUCUGGCUUGUAACUGACGCUGAGGCUCGAAAGCGUGGGGAGCAAACAGG
rnacentral:rRNA from 1 species